CUGAGAUACAUGGAAAUGGCCACCUGCUCAGAAAGAAGUCCUUCUCACUAGGCUUGAAAUGCCCAUCGGUCCUUUGGUCAUCCAGUUCUAACAUCAUGACACCAGAAGUUCCGUAUUGUACCAGUCAGGUACUCAAAUCCAAAGGGACUGACUAAAUGUAUUUGGAGGAAAUGGUAGGAAGCUUCAAGUCUUCCUUUCCCCAAAGACACCGAGUUAACACGGACCAGAACACCUCUGUGAGAACUCUAGAGACAUGUCGAGAAGCUACAGCAUGCCAUAUCAUUGUAAAACCCAAAAAGGAUUCUAAACAAAAAAGGAGGGAAAAUCUGCAGUAUUUGGCAAAGCCAUCCUGACUUUUCUUCUUUGUGGCAUAGUGCUAAGCAACUGGGAAAAAACCCUUACCCCAGGGCUCCAUCAUCCAGGAUGGAAACAAAAGAUUGGACCAUGGAUUCAGUGCUCUGGUUUAUCUGAUGGCCACCCAAGGGGCUAGCUGCUUUAUCACCUGACUGGGACAACAGCUAAGGAUACCAGGGGAAGAAUCUGGAAACAAAGGUGGAGCCUCCGAUUAGAGCUGCGGUUCCACAAGCAGACACCAGAGGGAACAAAAGAACAGGAAAGAUGGGAGCCAUCCUUGCUCCACUAGUACUGCUGUGAAGGUCUUCCCCUACAAGGAGCCAGACUGUGGAAGACUAGGCGCGCCUCCGAGAGCUGGAUUGAAUGGGAAAGAGCGAGGCUGUCUUUGUCAUUAAUCUUCCCCUCCUUCGAGCAAACCAAGCUCCUUCCGGGUCAGCGACAAUCACCGUCACCCGGUCAGGCCCGCGGUGCCCCCAAACCGAAC
rnacentral:lncRNA from 1 species